rnacentral:rRNA from 1 species
GACGAACGCUGGCGGCGUGCUUAACACAUGCAAGUCGAGCGGUAAGGCCCUUUCGGGGGUACACGAGCGGCGAACGGGUGAGUAACACGUGGGUGACCUGCCCUCAGCUCUGGGAUAAGCCCGGGAAACUGGGUCUAAUACCGGAUAUGACUCCAUGACGCAUGUUGUGGGGUGGAAAGCCUUGUGCGGCUGAGGAUGGGCCCGCGGCCUAUCAGCUUGUUGGUGGGGUGAUGGCCACCAAGGCGACGACGGGUAGCCGGCCUGAGAGGGCGACCGGCCACACUGGGACUGAGAUACGGCCCAGACUCCUACGGGAGGCAGCAGUGGGGAAUCUUGCGCAAUGGGGCGAAAGCCUGACGCAGCGACGCCGCGUGAGGGAUGAC